AUAUCUGUUGAUUACAAUUCAGAUACUGGGUUUGUGAGUUGAAAUUAAUCAAAUGAGAGUGGUAAAAAUUCAACAUUAUAUCGUAUAAUUUACAUAUCAGGAUUUUAUCCAGGUACGUUAUUCUGGUUUGUGGAAUGCUAAUUGAUACUAAGUUAGAAUAAUCUAAGCUGUAUACCAAAGUAGGUCUUCAUGGGGCUUUACGGCUCUAUGCAUCGCAAAUAGAGAUCGGGUUCAAUGCGUCGGGUGUGGGAUUCACUCAAUAUUAUAUGCUGAGCGCGAAAGUUGAUAUCAACAGACGCCAUGAUGUGAUACCGGUAAACAUCUUGAAUAUGAAUCGAGAACAGGAGUUGAUGCAGAUAUUCUGAGGAAAAUCUUCCAAUCAUUGAGUAAGUGAUUUACUGUGUAUCUUAUAGUUAUAAACUCUCUAAUAUAUUGUUCAAAACGAAACUGACCAUCGCUCAUUGUAUGUUGUUGCGUCAAAUCUUGCAAGUCAGUGUUUACGUUUAUAAAUUUACAUGCUUCAUUCAAUUCUUUGAAAUUAUGUGGAAUUUAUUUUUUUUUAAAUUUCCUUUGUAUGAGAUUAGACUCCUUCUAGUUGCAUUAUCGUAGCCAUCGCGGAUUUUUUUUUCUUCUUAUACCUUUGGACAGGACCAUAGAUCUAUAGGCACUUUAAAAAAUGAAGAGAGAGCCUAGAGGGGAAAAGGCCGAAAAACAAACAAAUAAAAUAAGCCUAUUUCCGUAAUAAUUAUGCUAUUUUUUGUUUACUAUCUACUCGGGUUAUAUUUGCAAAACUGAAUAGUUUAUUCAGUAAAUGAAUGGUUGAUUAUUUUUUUAAUUUAAAUGCUUAUGAUUUGAACCCUGAUGUCCAGUUAGAAAAGUUAAACUGCAUUAUGAUCAGGGAUGUGACUUCCAGAAUCUCAAUUUUGUCACUCCAUCAAUGCAUAUACGUUAUUAAAAUGGAUUGAAGAUCUUGUCUUGGCAAUAAAGUUAAUUUGUACGUAAAGUCUGGUCAGCAUGAUAUUAACAGUUGUACAUCAAAUAUUGCAUUUAUUAGCCCAAUGGGCUAUAACGCAACAUUGAUUAUUUCUCGGCUUUGAAAAUCGGUGGCCCCAGGUGUCGGGUGACGGUAAUUACAUGUACACACCCCUGAAUGAUUCCUCCUAUGUUAGACAUUUUGCAAACUUUUAUAUAGGACGGCCAAUGGUAUCUCGUAAUUAUUUACAAUUUUAUAUCUUUUUCAGAAUAUAUUUCAUGAUAGUCGUGAAGAUACAGAAGUUGUGAUGGUGUGUUGAUAGGCUGUCUUCAACUUGCCAUAUCUGAGAGUUCCAACAUGCAGGCCUGGAUUAAUGUUUUAUCACAACAAAUGGAUGGGACAGUAGAGUUGUUGCGGACAAUAUGUGAUUGUGAUGACCAAGUACUGAACAAGUGGAAGAUUAGAAGAAGGUCCAGAAUUCAAUCAUGUUUUUGAUUCUAAGGCGCAGACAGCAUGGAGAUAGUCCUAUUAUUCUCCCAUUCAUCUAUGAGGGAGAAACUUGUGUAAAUGUUUACAGUGUUCUCCCUAAUAAGUGCCCACAAGUCUGUAAUAAUUUAUCAGAAUAUAAAGUCCUUAACAGUACUGACUUUAAAAUUCAUGUAGAUUGUCUCCAGAUUUUCCUGAGGAAAAGUUCAUAGUUUACAUGUGUGAAUUUUGAAUAUAUUUCAUUCUUGUCUGCAAAUGUUGCCGAAACCUGUUAUUGAUGCACAAUGCACAUAGUCAUAUUAUGCAAAUGAUAGACCUCCUUUUUAAUUACAUGUCCUUAAGAUCAUGUCAACUCCUUUGUCUUAAUUGUAUAUACAAUUCUAGCAUUUAUAGCAUCAUUUGUAUAGCACUUGCUAGUUUAAUAAGGAUUUUAUUUUUUUUAAACUUUCAUUUGACAUGAUUGAUCUAAAACGGCCAAAAUUCACAAAUCUAUUUAAAUCACAACCUGACCUUAGGCCAGAAAAGUGCCACAGUGGGUUGAUAUUUUUCUCUUGGAUCUUGAAAGAAAUUCUUUAUGCAGCAGUUUCCAAAUAAAAUGUACUCUCAUGGCCAGGUAGGGACUUCAUCGAGAACUUUUUAACAUUGCACAAUGCAAUAUUUGUGGAUUAGAAGCUGUUGCAGUUUCUUUAAGUUUUCUCUCACAUCUUGUUAUAAUUAUAUUUUAUAUUUUUGGUCGGGUUGCACAAUGUUCAAACAGUUUAUAAAAUGGUGAAUGACUGGUGGGCAAGCGACAGUAGCGUCCCUGUAAUAGUACCUACUUUGUGUAAUCAACUCCUUUCACACCUCUCACUUGAUGUUCCUCAAACUUUGUACAGUUGUUAGGGAUACAUUGAAGAUGUGCGUGUACCUUUUUGAAAGUGAUCAGACGUUUUUUUGAAAAAUUUACAUGUAGUUAAACUUCGUCAUUUUUUAAGCAUUUCUUUAAUCGACAGUACCUAUUUUGUGUAAUCAACUCCUCGUAUACCUCUAAUUUGACAUUCCUCAAACUGUGUACAGUUGUUAUGAAUACAUUGAAGAUGUGCAUAUGUGUUUUUGAAAGUGAUCAGACAUUUAAAAAAAAAUGUACAUGUAGUUGAACUUAAGUCAUUUUAAAGCAUUUCUUGAAUAGAUGGUAACUAUUUUGCGUAAUCAAAUCCUCAUGCACCUCUAACUUGACAUUCCUUAAACUUUGUACAGUUGUUAUGAACACAUUGAAGAUGUGCAUGCGUCUUUUUGAAAAUGAUUAGACUUUUUUUUUUUUUUUAAUUACGUGUAGUUGAACUUGGUCAUUUUUUAUGCAUUUCUUGAAUAGAUGGUACUUAUUUUGUGUAAUCAACUCGUGUACAUCUAAAUUGAUAUUCCUCAAACUUUGUACAGUAGUUAUGGACACAUUGAAGAUGUGCAUGUGUCUUUUUGAAAGUGAUCAGACUUUUUAAAAAAAAAUUACAUUUAGUUGAACUUUGUCAUUUUUUCAAAGCAUUUCCUGAAUAGAUGGUACCUAUUUUUUGUAAUUAACUCCUCUUACAGCAUUUAUUUGACAUUCUUCAGACCUUGAACAGCUGUUAUGGAAGCAUUGUAAAUGUGCAUGUGUCUUUUCGGAAGUGAUCAGGCAUUCUUUGAAAAAUUUACAUGUGCAUGAUGAAGUUGAACUUAGUCAUUUUUUAAGCAUGGUACUUUAUGUAACCAACUCAGCUUGUACUUAACAUUUUCCAGACCCUGUACAUUAUAGAUGUUAUAAAAACAUUGAAGAUAUACAUGUAACAUUUUAAAAAUGCUUCUCUUUUUUCUUUUUUUGUUGUUGUUGAAAAAUUCUACCUUUAAUUUGUCAUUUUUCCAGUAUGUUUCUACUGUUGUUCCUAUGAUAGAUAACAUAUUUUACAAGAACCUGGUCAUUUCUGUUUUUGAAUCUUUUUUUUUUUAAUUAGUAUUUUUGAAUAUAUGUUAAUUACUUGAUAUGUCAUUGUUCUUGAAAUUAUAUUAAUUGAAUUAUUAUUGUGUUUUUGUUUUGUAAUAUGACAGUUUAUAUAGGAUCCCUUAAUUUCGAGCA